GCCUGACCCCGACUCCCCGCGCCCCGGGUGUCCCAAUGCCCAACACUCCAUGCCCACAACUUUAUCGCGUUAGUCUGGGCCAGGCCUGAGGUGGGGGGAUUCCUAUCAGGGGCGCCCCUUCUGAGCCGUUAGCUGAGCUGUAGCCAGCCGGGCCUUUCCUGCAUUUCGCAAGCUGCGUUACAUAAGGGCCCUCAACUGCAGCGAGCAGGGGCCUCUUGGCUGAACUCCCCUCCCCACCAAAGCUGAGGGAAAGAGAUUUGUGAGGCUUAAAGUCAUCAGUGGGGUCAUUCGCGCUGUUCCCCACCCACCCCAUCUGGAAGAGCUGGCCAUGGGCCUCCUGUCUGGAUGAAAGUAGACCCGGUGGGCAGGUAAAUCCCUAAACCCAUGCCUGUUUUUCUCUGAAAGGAUCCAAAUUUUCUCCUUGCCUAUUCUUGCCUCCAAGCCCAGGAUGCACAAAGCUACCAGAUAUCAACUGGUUGUCAUCUUCCACUCCUGCUGCAGCUAAGACCCACCCCAGCCUUAACUGGCAUCGUCUCUCAGACAGCCCUGGUCCUAACACAUUGUUAGGUGGGCCCUUGUCAGCAUUUUGAUGAGCAGUGUUGAUCUCGGAGGGUUGACCUUCCUGCCCCUCUCUCAGCUGGGAGGAGCAGACUCAGAAGACUGGAGCAGUAAGAAUACAGUCUUGACUGUGUUUACUUUGGGGGAUUCCAGGAAAUGCUGCAACAAAAGGUCCUGCAGGCCAAAAAAGAAAGCUUACCCUCCAGAGAUAAGGGGAUCAAAGGGAACCUUCCCAGGCCUGCUGGCCCAAGGACCAGCUCCCCCGCCUCCUCCCUCCUUCUCUGCUGGACGCACCCUCUCUGGUCCAUUGUCCACUUUUGUCUGCUUUUCCUGCCUGAAAAGGAGGAAGUGAGCCUGGGCCCAGCCAGCACUCUGCCCUCUGCAGCUGCCUUUCAGCUCAGCUUUCCUAGAAGGGCUUUGACAGAUAGAAGAGGACUUGUGGAAACAGGCCCAAGCCGACUCAAAGAUGAGAUUAGAGAACGGCUCUCGCUUCCCGGACCAGAAGGGAGUUACUGAAGGUCAUCUCAUCCAUCCCCCUGCCUCCAUACACAGCUGGGUCGUCUGAGCAUAGGCUGUUCUGCAGACACUACCAAUGUCACCAUAGGGGGCAGGUAUCUUAUCUUUCCCCUUUUCCACACCCUCUCACUACUAUUGCCUCCUCCACAUAGCCCCAGGGCAACCAUUUUAAAAGCCCAAUUUGAUCCUACCUAAAAUCUUUCAAUGGCUCCUAAUCAACUAAUAAUUAAUACAGUUCAGAAUCU